rnacentral:rRNA from 1 species
CCUACGGGCGGCAGCAGUGGGGGAUAUUGCACAAUGGGGGGAACCCUGAUGCAGCGACGCCGCGUGGGUGAAGAAGCGCCUCGGCGCGUAAAGCCCUGUCAGCAGGGAAGAAAAUGACGGUACCUGAAGGAGAAGCCCCGGCUAACUACGUUCCAGCAGCCGCGGUACUACGGAGGGGGCAAGCGUUAUCCGGAUUUACUGGGUGUAAAGGGGGCGUAGACGGCGAUGCAAGCCAGGUGUGAAAGCCCGGGGCCCAACCCCGGGCCUGCUGUUGGAACUGGGUGGCUGGAGUGCAGGGGGGGCAGGCGGAAGUCGUGGUGUAGCGGUGAAAUGCGUAGAUAUGAGGAGGUACACCGGUGGCGAAGGCGGCCUGCUGGAGUGCAACUGACGUUGAGGCCCGAAAGCGUGGGGAGCGAACAGGAUUAGAUACCCGAGUAGUC